rnacentral:rRNA from 1 species
AGCGAACGCUGGCGGUAGGCCUAACACAUGCAAGUCGAACGGCAGCACAGUAAGAGCUUGCUCUUACGGGUGGCGAGUGGCGGACGGGUGAGGAAUACAUCGGAAUCUACUUUUUCGUGGGGGAUAACGUAGGGAAACUUACGCUAAUACCGCAUACGCCCUACGGGUGAAAGCAGGGGAUCUUCGGACCUUGCGCGAUUGAAUGAGCCGAUGUCGGAUUAGCUAGUUGGCGGGGUAAAGGCCCACCAAGGCGACGAUCCGUAGCUGGUCUGAGAGGAGGAUCGGCCACACUGGAGCUGGGACACGGUCCAGGCUCCUGCGGGAGGCAGCAGUGGGGAAUGUUGGACAAUGGGCGCAAGCCUGAUCCAGCGAUACCGCGUGGGUGAAGAAGGCCUUCGGGUUGUAAAGCCCUUUUGUUGGGAAAGAACAGCAGCAGGUUAAUACCCCGCUGUUCUGACGGUACCCAAAGAAUAAGCACCGGCUAACUUCGUG